rnacentral:rRNA from 1 species
UACGGAGGAUGCAAGCGUUAUCCGGAAUUAUUGGGCGUAAAGCGUCCGCAGGUGGCACUUCAAGUCUGCUGUCAAAGACCGGGGCUUAACCCUGGAAAGGCAGUGGAAACUGAAGCGCUAGAGUGUGGCAGGGGUAGAGGGAAUUCCCGGUGUAGCGGUGAAAUGCGUAGAGAUCGGGAAGAACAUCAGUGGCGAAGGCGACUUCCUGGACCAAUACUGACGCUCAGGUGCGAAAGCGUGGGGAGCAAACAGG